CCCCCGCUGGGAAGCUCCCCCAGGCGCCGCCUCCCCGGGGAGGGGGCUUCGUCGCCGCAGCCCCCGCCCCGGAGCCCGCGAACGCCGCGCGAGGUCCCACAGGCCCCGGCUUCCCAGGCCCGGCGCCGCACACCGACUGGCCCCAGCCGUCAGCGCCGCGGCGGCCCGGCGGCGUCGCAGCCCUCUCUGACGUCAGCACGCCGCGGCGGGCCCCGCCCUUCGGCCCGGGUCGGGCGGCGGAGCUGGGUUCCCGGCAGCGCGGACGCGGGCGUGAGCCGCUGCCGGUGCGGCGGCGUGGCCGGCGGAGACCCGGGUCUUCCCCGGCCGUGAGGAGAACGCAGGACGUGUGGGCGAAUACAAGAUGCGUUUCAGUGAGCUGGGAUAAAGAGACGUGCAGGCGACAUGGAGCAUUUGAGAGAUCCCUUUCAAACCAAAAGGUAGCUUAG
rnacentral:lncRNA from 1 species